UGAACGCUGGCGGUAUGCUUAACACAUGCAAGUCGAACGGAAACGAUACUAGCUUGCUAGUAGGCGUCGAGUGGCGGACGGGUGAGUAACGCGUAGGAAUCUGCCUGAUAGUGGGGGAUAGCCCGAAGAAAUUCGGAUUAAUACCGCAUAAUCUAUUCGUAGUAAAGUGGGGGACUUUCGAGCCUCACGCUAUCAGAUGAGCCUGCGUAAGAUUAGCUAGUUGGUAGAGUAAAAGCCUACCAAGGCAACGAUCUUUAGCUGGUCUGAGAGGAUGAUCAGCCACAUCGGGACUGAGACACGGCCCGAACUCCUACGGGAGGCAGCAGUGGGGAAUAUUGGACAAUGGGGGCAACCCUGAUCCAGCAAUACCGCGUGUGUGAAGAAGGCCUGAGGGUUGUAAAGCACUUUCAAUUGUGAAGAAAAGUUAACGGUUAAUAACCGUUAGCCUUGACGUUAACUUUAGAAGAAGCACCGGCUAACUCCGUGCCAGCAGCCGCGGUAAUACGGAGGGUGCAAGCGUUAAUCGGAAUUACUGGGCGUAAAGCGUGCGUAGGCGGUUUAUUAAGUCAGAUGUGAAAGCCCCGGGCUUAACCUGGGAACUGCAUUUGAAACUGGUCAACUAGAGUAUGGUAGAGGAAAGUGGAAUUUCUGGUGUAGCGGUGAAAUGCGUAGAUAUCAGAAGGAACAUCAAUGGCGAAGGCAGCUUUCUGGACCAAUACUGACGCUGAGGUACGAAAGCGUGGGUAGCAAACAGGAUUAGAUACCCUGGUAGUCCACGCCGUAAACGAUGAUAACUAGCCGUUGGGGGGAUUUACCCUUUAGUGGCGAAGCUAACGCGUUAAGUUAUCCGCCUGGGGAGUACGGCCGCAAGGUUAAAACUCAAAGGAAUUGACGGGGACCCGCACAAGCGGUGGAGCAUGUGGUUUAAUUCGAUGCAACGCGAAGAACCUUACCUGGUCUUGACAUCCUGCGAACUUUCUAGAAAUAGAUUGGUGCCUUCGGGAACGCAGUGACAGGUGCUGCAUGGCUGUCGUCAGCUCGUGUCGUGAGAUGUUGGGUUAAGUCCCGUAACGAGCGCAACCCCUAUCCUUAUUUGCCAGCACGUCAUGGUGGGAACUAUAAGGAGACUGCCGGUGAUAAACCGGAGGAAGGCGGGGACGACGUCAAGUCAUCAUGGCCCUUACGACUAGGGCUACACACGUGCUACAAUGGGAAGGACAAAGAGCCGCGAAGCCGCGAGGUGUAGCUAAUCUCAGAAACCUUUUCGUAGUCCGGAUUGGAGUCUGCAACUCGACUCCAUGAAGUCGGAAUCGCUAGUAAUCGUAGAUCAGAAUGCUACGGUGAAUACGUUCCCGGGUCUUGUACACACCGC
rnacentral:rRNA from 1 species